rnacentral:rRNA from 1 species
ACGGGAGGCAGCAGUGAGGAAUAUUGGUCAAUGGGCGGGAGCCUGAACCAGCCAAGUAGCGUGGAGGAUGACGGCCCUACGGGUUGUAAACUCCUUUUGCGGGGGGAUAAAGUGCGGGACGCGUCCCGCUUUGCAGGUACCCCGCGAAUAAGCAUCGGCUAACUCCGUGCCAGCAGCCGCGGUAAUACGGAGGAUGCGAGCGUUAUCCGGAUUUAUUGGGUUUAAAGGGUGCGUAGGCGGCCCCUUAAGUCGGCGGUGAAAUUUCCGGGCUCAACCCGGUCACUGCCGUCGAAACUGGGGGGCUUGAGUGCGUUCGGGGUGGCUGGAAUGUGCGGUGUAGCGGUGAAAUGCAUAGAUAUCGCACAGAACGCCGAUCGCGGAGGCAGGUCACCAAGCCGCAACUGACGCUGAGGCACGAAAGCGCGGGGAUCGAACAGGAUUAGAUACCCUGGUA